rnacentral:rRNA from 1 species
CCCUUAGACGUUCUGGGCCGCACGCGCGCUACACUGACCAGUGCAACAAGCAUCCGUCCUUGGCCGACAGGCCCGGGCAAUCUUUGAACGCUGGUCGUGAUGGGGAUAGACUUUUGCAAUUUUUGGUCUUCAACGAGGAAUUCCUAGUAAACGCAAGUCAUCAACUUGCAUUGAUUACUUCCCUGCCCUUUGUACACACCGCCCGUCGCACCUACCGAUUGAAUGGUCCGGUGAAGCCUCCGGAUUGGCGCGCACCUCGGUGCCGCCGAGAAGUUGGCUAAACCUUACCAUUUAGAGGAAGGUGAAGUCGUAACA